GAGCAGAGGGGUGUGUUUGCCAUGGA
rnacentral:piRNA from 1 species